rnacentral:lncRNA from 1 species
GGUAACGAGUGCCUGUAAUCCCAGCUACUUGGGAGGCUAACGCACGAGAAUCUUGGGGGGAAAAACCCCAAAACUGUAAUUCCUGGCUGAGACCUAGUUAUGCUUGAGCAGGCAUUGGGCUCCAGGCCUCUGGCCGCUCCAGAAGGGCACUUGACUGUAAGGAUGAAAUCCUGUCUCUGAGCUGCACUCAGUGUGAAGUGCCACCACCUGCAUCCCCCUGUCUCAGGGUUGUGGAUACCCCCUGGCUGGGCUUCAUGGAGAAAUCUUCUCUGAUCACCAACCUGAAUCCC